UACGAAGGGGGCUAGCGUUGCUCGGAAUCACGGGGCGUAAAGCGCACGUAGGCGGAUUGUUAAGUCAGGGGUGAAAUCCUGGAGCUCAACUCCAGAACUGCCUUUGAUACUGGCGAUCUCGAGUCCGGGAGAGGUGAGUGGAACUGCGAGUGUAGAGGUGAAAUUCGUAGAUAUUCGCAAGAACACCAGUGGCGAAGGCGGCUCACUGGCCCGGUACUGACGCUGAGGUGCGAAAGCGUGGGGAGCAAACAGG
rnacentral:rRNA from 1 species